rnacentral:rRNA from 1 species
GCCCCGGUAAACGGCGGCCGUAACUAUAACGGUCCUAAGGUAGCGAAAUUCCUUGUCGGGUAAGUUCCGACCUGCACGAAUGGCGUAAUGAUGGCCAGGCUGUCUCCACCCGAGACUCAGUGAAAUUGAACUCGCUGUGAAGAUGCAGUGUACCCGCGGCAAGACGGAAAGACCCCGUGAACCUUUACUAUAGCUUGACACUGAACAUUGAGCCUUGAUGUGUAGGAUAGGUGGGAGGCUUUGAAGUGUGGACGCCAGUCUGCAUGGAGCCGACCUUGAAAUACCACCCUUUAAUGUUUGAUGUUCUAACGUUGGCCCGUAAUCCGGGUUGCGGACAGUGUCUGGUGGGUAGUUUGACUGGGGCGGUCUCCUCCUAAAGAGUAACGGAGGAGCACGAAGGUUGGCUAAUCCUGGUCGGACAUCAGGAGGUUAGUGCAAUGGCAUAAGCCAGCUUGACUGCGAGCGUGACGGCGCGAGCAGGUGCGAAAGCAGGUCAUAGUGAUCCGGUGGUUCUGAAUGGAAGGGCCAUCGCUCAACGGAUAAAAGGUACUCCGGGGAUAACAGGCUGAUACCGCCCAAGAGUUCAUAUCGACGGCGGUGUUUGGCACCUCGAUGUCGGCUCAUCACAUCCUGGGGCUGAAGUAGGUCCCAAGGGUAUGGCUGUUCGCCAUUUAAAGUGGUACGCGAGCUGGGUUUAGAACGUCGUGAGACAGUUCGGUCCCUAUCUGCCGUGGGCGCUGGAGAACUGAGGGGGGCUGCUCCUAGUACGAGAGGACCGGAGUGGACGCAUCACUGGUGUUCGGGUUGUCAUGCCAAUGGCACUGCCCGGUAGCUAAAUGCGGAAGAGAUAAGUGCUGAAAGCAUCUAAGCACGAAACUUGCCCCGAGAUGAGUUCUCCCUGACUCCUUGAGGGUCCUGAAGGAACGUUGAAGACGACGACGUUGAUAGGCCGGGUGUGUAAGC